AAUCUGAACAGCUUAAGCCGAACCAGUACUGCUCUCCCUGCUGAUUCCUACCAGAUCGGGGCCAUUGCGGGCAUCAUCAUUCUUGUCCUAGUUGUUCUCUUCCUACUGGCAUUGUUCAUUAUUUAUAGACACAAGCAGAAGGGAAAGGAAUCAAGCAUGCCAGCAGUUACCUACACCCCUGCUAUGAGGGUCAUCAAUGCAGAUUAUACCAUUUCAGGAACCCUUCCUCACAGCAAUGGUGGAAAUGCUAAUAGCCACUACUUCACCAAUCCAAGUUACCACACGCUCACCCAGUGUGCCACAUCCCCUCAUGUCAACAACAGGGACAGGAUGACCUCCACGAAGUCGAAAAACAAUCAACUGUUUGUGAAUCUUAAAAAUGUGAACCCUGGGAAGAGAGGCCCUGUCGGGGACUGCAUUGGGACAUUACCUGCUGACUGGAAACAUGG
rnacentral:sRNA from 1 species